rnacentral:rRNA from 1 species
CCUAAGUAGCGGCGAGCGAACGGGAAAGAGGCCAAACCGAAGGGCUUGCUCUUCGGGGUUGUGGAUCAGCGAUAAGGACGGAAGACCUUAGCAGAAGAGGAUUGGAAAGUCCCGCCAGAGAGGGUAAAAGCCCCUUACGCGAAAAGGUCAAACGACGAGCUGACACCAGAGUACCGCAGGACACGAGAAAUCCGGUGGGAAGCCGGGAGGACCACCUCCCAAGCCUAAAUACGAAUUGGUGACCGAUAGCGCAUAGUACCGUGAGGGAAAGGUGAAAAGAACCCCGGGAGGGGAGUGAAAAAGAACCUGAAACCCUGUGUUUACAAGCAGUGAAAGUGCAAGAAAGGCACGAUCACGUACUUUUUGUAGAACGGACCGGCGAGUUACGUUAUGCAGCAAGGUUAAGAACUGAAGGUUCGGAGCCGAAGCGAAAGCGAGUCUGAAUAGGGCGAUAGUUGCAUGACGUAGACCCGAAACCGGGUGACCUAUCCAUGAGCAGGUUGAAGUGGAGGUAAAGCUCCAUGGAGGACCGAACCAGACGUCUGUUGAAAAAGGCGGGGAUGACUUGUGGAUAGGGGAGAAAUUCCAAUCGAACCCGGAGAUAGCUGGUUCUCCUCGAAAUAGCUUUAGGGCUAGCCUCAUGGAUCAUUGGUGGGGGUAGAGCACUGAAUGUGCGCGGGGGCCACAAAGCCUACCAAACGCUAUCAAACUUCGAAUACCAUACAAUGCAGACCAUGGGAGUCAGUCCGCGAGAGAUAAGUUCCGCGGGCAAAAGGGGAACACCCCAGAUCAACCGCUAAGGUCCCCAAGUUCACGUUAAGUGGAGAAGGAUGUGGAAUUGCACAGACAACCAGGAUGUUGGCUCAGAAGCAGCCACACAUUUAAAGAGUGCGUAAUAGCUCACUGGUCGAGUGAUUGUGCGCCGAAGAUGUCCGGGGCUAAACGUGACACCGAAGCGAUGGGUGCAUCUGAAGAAGAUGCGCGGUAGAGGAGCAAUGUGCAGAGGCAGAAGCCGUAUCGAGAGGCACGGUGGACACUGCACAAGAGAGAAUGCCGGUAUGAGUAGCGAGAGGCAUGCGAGAAACAUGCCCGUCGAAAGCCCAAGGUUUCCUGGGGAAGGUUCAUCCGCCCAGGGUAAGUCGGGGCCUAAGCCGAGGACGGAAGUCGUAGGCGAUGGACAGCAGGUGUAGAUUCCUGCACUACCGAUGGAAUGAAGCAGUGACACAGAAGGAUAACUCGAGCAGGGUGAUGGUCAACCCUGUGCAAGCAUCAAGGUUAGGUUGUAGUGAAGUACGCAACCCUAUAAGCUGAGAUGUGAUGCGGACCGAAAUUUCAGUAGGGAAGCGAGUGAGUUCACGCUGGCGAGAAAAGCUGCUAGUACAUCCAAAGGUACCCGUACCGGAAACCGACGCAGGUGGGCGAGGAGAGAAUCCUGAGACGAACGGGAGAACCCUUGUUAAGGAACUCGGCAAAAUGACCCCGUAACUUCGGGAUAAGGGGUGCCUGCGAGAGCAGGCCGCAGAGAAUAGUCACAAGCGACUGUUUAGCAAAAACACAGGUAUCUGCGAAAGCGAGAGCUGACGUAUAGGUGCUGACACCUGCCCGGUGCUGGAAGGUUAAGGGAACAUGUUAGAGCAAUCGAAGCAUCGAACCGAAGCCCCAGUAAACGGCGGCCGUAACUAUAACGGUCCUAAGGUAGCGAAAUUCCUUGUCGGGUAAGUUCCGACCCGCACGAAUGGUGUAACGACUUGUGAGCUGUCUCAACAGGGGGCCCGGUGAAAUUGAAGUAUGGGUGAAGAUGCCCAUUACCCGCGACUGGACGGAAAGACCCCGUAGAGCUUUACUGCAGCCUGAUAUUGAGUUUCGGUAACUGAUGCACAGGAUAGGUGGGAGUCUGAGAGACACGGGUUUCGGCUCGUGUGGAGACGGUGUUGGGAUACCACUCUUCGGUUACUGAAAUUCUAACAUAGCUCUGUGAAACCAGAGGAUGGACAGUGUCAGGUGGACAGUUUGACUGGGGCGGUCGCCUCCGAAAGAG